UAAGCUUGUGGGUGCACAGAGUGCAAGAGUUGGGGCUUGGGAGCCUCCACCUGGAUUUCAGAGGAUGUAUGCAAAUGCCUAGAUGUCCAGGCAGAAGCUUCCUGCAGGGGCAGAGCCCUUAUGGAGAACUGCUUUUAUGGUAGUGCAAAGGGGAAAUGUGGGGUUGUAGUCCCCACAUGGAAUCCCCACUGGGGCACUGUCUAGUGGAGGUGUGAGAAGAGGGCCACUGUCGUUCAGACCCCAAAAUGGUAGAUCCACCAGCAGCUUGCACCUUGCACCUGUAAAAGCUGCAGGCAUUCAACACCAGUCCUUGGAGAGCAUCCACAGGGGCUGAGCCCUGCAGAGCCACGGCGGUGGUGCUGCUCAAGGUUUUGGGAGCCCACUGCUUGUACUAAUGUGCCCUGGAUGUGAGACAUGGAGUCAAAGGAGAUUAUUUUGGAGCUUUAAGAUUUAAUGGCUACCCUGCUGGGUUUCAGACUUGUGUGGGGCCUGUAGCCCCUUUCUUUUGGCUCAUUUCUCCCUUUUGGAAUAAGAGUAUUUACCCAAUGCCUAUACCUCAUUGUAUCUUGGAAGUAACGAACUGUUUUUUUUAUUUUACAGGCUCAUAGGUGGAAGAGAAUAGCUGUGUCUCAGAUGACUUUGGACUGUGGACUUUUGAGUUAAUAUUGGAAUGACUGACGAGGAAGAAUAUUCCUGAGCAAGACACAGGGUUUUCACCCUGAUAGAUGGAAUCUGAGCUACCUUCAAACUUUUAAGGGGGGACUAUGGUGACCGCCAGGAGAGGAGUCCCAGUUGAGCCAUAUGGACCAGGGAUGGCGGACAGGAAAGUUUGUCAGUGGGGCUGAUGCACAGAUGGGGUGCACGAGCUCCUCACUGGGGAAAUUUUGUGGGGGAAGGAUGCCCUCAUAGCUCAAACGUUCAGCUCACUCAAGAGUGGGCCAGAGCUAACAGCUAUCACUGUACUCACAGCUCCCAGGCCUUACUGAUCCAAUGGUCUCUUCAGAGAUUUAUGGCUCAGCUCCCAGGAACAAAGAUGAUUUUAUGUAAAUAUUUAUGAAAUUCCUCCCUCUUUCCUUUCCCUCCUGCCUCUCUCUCUCUUCCCUCCCUCCCUCCCUUCCUUUCUUCUUUCCUUCCUUCACUCCUUUUUGCCUGCCUGCCUGCCUUUCUCUUUUUUUCUUUCUUUAGAAAGAGGGAUUUAUAAUUCUUUUCCAAGUAAUGUGGGGACCAUACCAUGAAGAAGACAUUCUUCCUUUUGGUCCUCUGACUCCGAAUGCAACCUCAUUCAUUCAUUCAUUCAUUCAUUUGGUCAGUAUUUGGAGUGCUGUUGAUAGGGGUGGGGUCAUAUAGCCCUCACAUCUAGGUAAGUAGCCCCAACACAGCAAUAGGUGAAAUUUAAAAAAACACAACCUGAUUAAAUUCCAAAGUGGAAAGUCUAUACCAGUGUUUUUUAAACUAAUUCCCCAUGAAAAUCACUCGGGAAACUUUUAAAAAAUACACAUUCCCAAGGUUCAGGCCAGAAUCAGAAUCUCUAAUUUUUAGCUUUAAAAAAAUGUUACAAACUUCGCAGGAAAUUUUUAUGUAGCUUGCCCAGUACUGCACUGUGAAUUGGUGUUCAGAAAAUAUGGUAGAUGAGAGACCACCUCUGUGAAGUUGAGGAUGUAGUGAUAUCUGACUAGCGGAGUUGUCAUGCUCACCUAGCAUGCUAAUGAGGACAGUGUCAGAGGAGAGAGCUGGCCCUAGGCACCAGACAGACACAGAGAGCCAUUUACUUACUCUUGCAGAUUCCAAAAGUCAAGACUCAAAAAUCGCACUUCUUCUCUCAAUGCCUGGAAGUGAUGAUUGAGACCUGUUGUACUUUUAUUUGGUGCUAGGGGCUACUGUGGAACUUCAGUCUCCAUACUUGCCUGUUAAAGUUCCUUCUGUUUUCCUUUUUACCCAAAUUCACUUGUGUAGGGCAAUGAUACUACAAGAGCAGUGCUCUAACCCCUGAGCUAUGGAGCCCCUGCCUGGGCAAUGAUAUAAAAGACUGGCCUCAAAGCUGUGGCAGACUCUCGAAAAUUAUUGGAAAAUAACUCAAUAAUAACAACACAGUCCUACUUCAAACCCUGUGUUCCCUAAGAGUGCUUUAUUCCCUCAAAGUAUUUUCAAAGUAUCUGUCAUUGCUUUGGGGUAGGCUUUUAUCACUAGCAUCUUCAUAGCUGACACUUCAUUUCUGGCCUUUUGGCUUUUUUGUAUGUUUAGUCAUACAUGCAGGUCAUACCACCAUAGCAACUCACUCAAAAUAACUCACUUAGGGUGACUGCACAGAGAGUCUCUCUCAGCUAUUUUAGUAAUAACACAAUAGCAACCCACGUUAGUGCAGCUGGGCUCCUUAAAUAUUCCUUCCUAAGUCAUGUAGUACACAUUUUAGAAGCCACAUUAAAGUACCAAAAUUACCCACAAACCGUUUAUUGCUACAGUUCACUCCCGUAUUUUCUUCUCAACCUGUGGGUAAAGAAAGACAUAGAUAAAUUCAUCUGAUGCUUUAAAGUGGCAGAGCUAUAAAUAUCUGAUUUUUCUCUGUGUUUUGAAAAAUUGAAUAGUCAUAGAAAAUUCUUAUAACAGUAUUUACAUAAGUGAGCACUUCCUCUUUCCUUUCUUCCCCCUCGCUCUCCGUAUCCUUCCUCCUUCCUCCCCUCCCCCUUUCCUUCCUUCCUUUUUUCCUUCCUUCUUUCCUCUCUUUCUUUACUAAAUAUCCAUAUUAUGCUAGGUAUUGUUUUAGAUUCCAAGCCAGACACAAAGGUAAACAAAAUAUAGUCAUUGCUCUCAAAUGUCUCACAGCCUUCUGAAUCUUUUGAAGAGGAAAACCUGAGAAUUAUAUAAAAUUGUUUCAUUAACAUAAGAGAAUCUGAAGAUGGCACAGAAUGUUUUGGGGGAUGCUUCCUUGAUUCCUAGUUCCUUUCUCUGUAGAUUCUUCCUGUUCAAGGCACAGGCGUAGACAGUCAUGAGAUGCCUGGGUCAGAAACAUAAGACUUUAAUACUCACAGCAAUAGCAGUAGGCAGAGUAUCAGCAGUUGUUCAUAUCUGUCCUGAGCCCCAAUUUCCAUAGGGCGUGUGAAGAAGGCCAGAUGACACUUAUUCACAUAGUGACUUGCAUUAUAGGAGGAGAUCCCUGAGCUCAGAGAACCCAAAUCUUUCAUGAUGGGCAGUAAGUUUGCCUGCCCUUUUCUCCAACAGCAGGUAUUAAUUCUGUUUUUCAAGGCUGGUCACUAUACAUGGAGAAUUCUUUCCCAAUCCUCUUGCCUCUUACCUUUCUUUUUGUUUGUUUGUUUCUUUCUUUCUUUCUUUUUCUUUCUUUCCUUCUUUCUUUCUUUCUUCCUUCCUUUCUUUCUUUCUUUUUUUUUUUUUUUUUUUUUGAGACGGAGUCUCACUGUUGCCCAGGCUGUAGUGUAGUGGCGUGAUCUUAG
rnacentral:lncRNA from 1 species